rnacentral:rRNA from 1 species
GGACCCGCACAAGUAGUGGAGCAUGUGGUUUAAUUCGAAGAUACGCGCAGAACCUUACCAACACUUGACAUGUUCGUCGCGACUUUAAGAGAUUAAAGUUUUCGGUUCGGCCGGACGAAACACAGGUGCUGCAUGGCUGUCGUCAGCUCGUGUCGUGAGAUGUUGGUUAAGUCCCGCAACGAGCGCAACCCUCACUUUUAGUUGCCAUCAUUUAGUUGGGCACUCUGAAAGAACUGCCAGUGAUAAGCUGGAGGAAGGUGGGGAUGACGUCAAGUCCUCAUGGCCCUUACGUGUUGGGCUACACACGUGCUACAAUGGUAUUUACAACAGGAAGCAAAAAGCUAUCUCAGUU